rnacentral:rRNA from 1 species
GCUGGCGGCGUGCCUAAUACAUGCAAGUCGAGCGAACGGACGAGAAGCUUGCUUCUCUGAUGUUAGUGGCGGACGGGUGAGAAACACGUGGAUAACCUACCUAUAAGACUGGGAUAACUUCGGGAAACCGGAGCUAAUACCGGAUAAUAUUUUGAACCGCAUGGUUCAAAAGUGAAAGACGGUCUUGCUGUCACUUAUAGAUGGAUCCGCGCUGCAUUAGCUAGCUGGUAAGGUAACGGCUUACCAAGGCAACGAUGCAUAGCCGACCUGAGAGGGUGAUCGGCCACACUGGAACUGAGACACGGUCCAGACUCCUACGGGAGGCAGCAGUAGGGAAUCUUCCGCAAUGGGCGAAAGCCUGACGGAGCAACGCCGCGUGAGUGAUGAAGGUCUUCGGAUCGUAAAACUCUGUUAUUAGGGAAGAACAUAUGUGUAAGUAACUGUGCACAUCUUGACGGUACCUAAUCAGAAAGCCACGGCUAACUACGUGCCAGCAGCCGCGGUAAUACGUAGGUGGCAAGCGUUAUCCGGAAUUAUUGGGCGUAAAGCGCGCGUAGGCGGUUUUUUAAGUCUGAUGUGAAAGCCCACGGCUCAACCGUGGAGGGUCAUUGGAAACUGGAAAACUUGAGUGCAGAAGAGGAAAGUGGAAUUCCAUGUGUAGCGGUGAAAUGCGCAGAGAUAUGGAGGAACACCAGUGGCGAAGGCGACUUUCUGGUCUGUAAUUGACGCUGAUGUGCGAAAGCGUGGGGAUCAAACAGGAUUAGAUACCCUGGUAGUCC